UGGAAAGGCAGCCGCAUGUCUGAGACUCAGAUGGAUGUUGCUUUUAAUAAAAAUUCUCAUUUAAGAGUGUUGGAUAUCAGCUCGUCGAAAAUUCAAAAGCUCCCAGAUUCUUUGGGUAACCUCAUACACCUGAGGUACCUAAAUAUCUCAUGUUCCCAGAUAAGCGUGAUACCGGAAAGCAUAGGGAAUCUCAGAAAUUUACGGUACUUGGAUAUCUCAUGCACCAAGAUAAGCGUGACACCGGAAAGCAUAGGGAAUCUUAGAAAUCUACAAUCCUUGAAUAUGUGGAUGUGUUUGCGCCUUUCUCGCCUUCCCAACAGUAUCGUGAAUUUACACAACCUUAGGAGCCUCGAUCUAGAUCAUACAAGUGGGGUUGGGAUGCCGGCAGGGCUAGGAAGGCUUCAAAAUCUUCAACUACUGCGUGGAUUUAUGUUGCAGAGCAACCGGACAGAGGGAUGUUGCACGAUGGAAGAAUUGAGACCUCUCUCGUGUCUCACGGAUCUCUCAAUCGAAAAGUUGGAGGGCAUACCCAGCAGCUCCGAGGCAAAAGCAGCCGAAAUUGGAAACAAAUCCAAGCUUAGGUCACUUGAGCUGAGUUGCGCACGAGACCUUCAACGCACUAAGGAGGAGAUGAGGAGAAUCGAGGAGGUGUUUGAAGAGCUCCACCCUCCAUCUUGCCUGGAAGCACUGUGGAUCAAAGGUUACUUCGGCCGUGAGUUCCCAAAGUGGAUGGCAGAGACAUCUUCAUCAACAUCAAUUCUUUUCCCAAAUUUAAGGCGGUUGGGGCUAUAUUUUUGCAAUUACUGUGAGCGGCUUCCACCUUGCGGGCUGCUCCCUUAUCUUGAACAUCUUGACGUCAGGGGUGCUGCAUCAGUCAUAGACGUUGGACCUGAAUUUUUGGUCGGCAGCAAAGCAAGAGUAGAUUCUUCCAAGCAUGCAUUCCACAAGCUGGAGACACUAAGGUUUCUUGAUAUGCAUAAUUGGCAGGAAUGGCAUUGGGAUAAAGGAUCACAAGCAAUGCCACGUCUAAAGUACCUGAGCCUUGAUCUGUGCCCCAAGUUGAAGUCUCUUCCCGAGGGUCUCCUGCUCCACGCAACCUCCUUGACAAAAUUGGAGAUCUGGAAUGCCGGCAGCCUAACAACCAUUGAGAACCUCCUCAAAGAAUUGUAUAUAGUGAACAUUCCCAAGCUAGAGAAAGUUUCAGACCUUUUUGCGCUCACAACCCUCAAGGUUGGCCACUGCCCGGAAUUGCAAGUGGUGGAGAAUCUUCAAUCCUUGAAAAGGAUGACACUGAUCGAGUUGGAGAUGAACUCACUCCCAUCAUACUUACUGAAAGGAGUGCAAAGAGGUCCAAAGAAAAGGAAAAGAGUAGAUAGACCUACCAAGUCAAGGAAAGGAGUACAUACAGCUCAUCUGGAGGAGCUGGUGAUCCACUGCAACUUGGGACUGAUGAGAAAAAUUUGCCAAAAGGCCAGCCCGGAGUGGCCAACAAUCCAAGACAUCCAGCGGGUAAAUGUAUACACAAACUAUGGAUCGGUGCAUGCCUUCUAUAACAAGUCCCCCUUCAGCUUCACUACAAAUUUCAACGGCACCACCAGCAGCAGCAGUGGCCUUGCUCUGUGAUCCAUGCCGCCUCCAUACUCCUUUUCAACUAUGGCUACAGUUCUUUCUAGUUAUACAGUUUCAAAGCAUCUCCUUACCGUGGACAAGACUCGUUGCAGCGUGUUGUCAUCUUUGGUGAUAUGUGGAAGGUGGAAGCUGAUGGUUCCAAUGAAUACAACAAUUUUCAGCCAGGUUCCUUGAACACCACGUACCAGCUAAUUAAGGACCUGAACAACGUAGAUAUGGUUAUUAAUAUUGGAGAUAUAUGCUAUGCAAAUGGAUACAUAUCACAGUGGGAUCAGUUUACAUCAAAAAUUGAACCCAUUGUUUCAGUUGUGCCUUAUAUGAUUGGAAGUGGUAAUCAUGAGCGUGAUUGGCCUGGAACAGGGUCCUUCUAUGGAAAUAAGGAUUCAGGUGGAGUAUGUGGCGUACUAGCUGAAACCAUAUUUUAUGUUCCUACAGAGAACCGGGCGAAAUUCUGGUAUACGACUCAAGAAAGUAUCUCUGCUGAAUUUAUUUUUUCUGGGGGUCCUCUCUGAAAAGACAUAACAUUUGCUUUUAUAGGUUCCAUGAUCUAGUUGUUUAAUGUAGUACCCAUUAGAUCGCUUAAUUCAAUUAGUGAAAUCUCUUCUGGAUCAAACAACCAAUCAUUUAUAUUUUUUCAUUGAUUAAUGCCUUUUCCUCUCUAGUUAUAUCUAUCAAUAACUUAAGAGAUUCACUGAAAACUUUUAAACAAGCAAAGUUUCUUUUGAGUUGAAUCAAGAAAUGACUGCCAUAUAAGUUGUCAGUAUGGAUGAUAUUUUGAUUAUCUUAUGCGUCAUUAUUUUGUAUGAACGUAAUACAGAAACAUUUAUGGUUGUACGGUACUCCAGUUGAGUUCGAUCCAUUAGGCAUCUCUUUUGAGUAACAAUUCUCUGAGAAUUUCUUUGUGCAAAAUCUUGUAUGGAGAGUGAGAUCUCUUCAGCAUUGUAGGGCAUUGCACCCUAAAUUCCAUGUUUUUCUUCUUGUUUUGAUUUGUAAAUGCCUUGCAGAUUAAGGACAUGGUAUUGACUGCUUGUCUUUUUCUUGCAUUGCUAUUAUAACUAUAAUAAAGCUGCUGUAACUUCUACCAUAGGAAUGCCCUCUGCUUAUAAUAUUGAAAUAUUUAAAAUUCUCGUAUCAUGAUACCCACUUACAUUGUGGCAUCUUGUUUCUGUAGCCAAAUAAUUCAUCUUAAAAUUUGUUGUUUUUAUUGUUAUCAUCAGGUAGCCGGCAGAUUAUGGUGUGUUUCGCUUCUGUAUAGCUGACACCAAGCAUGACUGGAGACCGAGGACUGAGCAUUAUGAAUUCAUCAAGACAAAAGCAGCCAUGGUUGAUCUUCUUUCUCAUCGGGUUCUUGGUUAUUCCUCUGGAGCAUACGAUGGUCUCAAAGGAUCCUUUGAGGAGCCAAUGGGAAGAGAUAGCCUUCAAGAGCUUUGGCAGAAGUAUAAGAAUACUUGCGUGCGCAAUGCAUCACACCAUUACAACCAUCCAUUUGCAAAAACCACCAAUGAAGUUGUUGGAGGUGGAGGUGCCAAGCCUUUCCACUUUCUCCCCCGUUCGAACACUGUGGAGUUAUUUUCAAGACUUUAACUUUGGAUUUGUGAAAAUCACUGCUUUCAACGAUUCUUCACUGUUGUUUUGAGUACAAGAAAAGCUGCGAUGGUAGGGUCUAUGACCCUUCACGAUCUCACCUGAUCAUCAUGACAUCGUAGUUUGCACCGUUGACAGUUGCUCCAGGACCACAUUGGCUACUUGUGCCUGCCUCUGAAAUGUAUUAGUCAAUGUAUUGAUUAGAAGGGAGGGUUGUUAUGUGAUGACCAAUCUUGCUUAAGGAUGAUAUGCUAUCUCAAUGCUAGCAAAACUGCUAAUAGAUCAUGUACUGCCAGUGCUUAGAUGUGUUUGAUUCCCACCAAGUUCUUCAUCAGUUUGAAUUUUCAAUAUAAGUUGCAUCUUCUAGCAAUGUUCUAA